UACGAAGGGGGCUAGCGUUGUUCGGAUUUACUGGGCGUAAAGCGCACGUAGGCGGAUCGUUAAGUCGGGGGUGAAAUCCUGGAGCUCAACUCCAGAACUGCCUUCGAUACUGGCGAUCUUGAGUCCGGAAGAGGCUCGCGGAAUUCCCAGUGUAGAGGUGAAAUUCGUAGAUAUUGGGAAGAACACCGGUGGCGAAGGCGGCGAGCUGGUCCAUUACUGACGCUGAGGCGCGACAGCGUGGGGAGCAAACAGG
rnacentral:rRNA from 1 species